rnacentral:rRNA from 1 species
UAACCUGCCGAAAGGCAGACUAAUUCCCCGAUGUCCUCCACUUUGGACAUCUUUUGUGGAGCAAAGGCUUCGGCCGGUUGCGGAUGGGGAUGCGUCCGAUUAGCUUGUUGGCGGGGCGACGGCCCACCAAGGCUUCGAUCGGUAGGGGUUCUGAGAGGAAGGCCCCCCACAUUGGAACUGAGACACGGUCCAAACUCCUACGGGAGGCAGCAGUGAGGAAUAUUGGUCAAUGGGCGGAAGCCUGAACCAGCCAAGUAGCGUGCAGGAUGACGGCCCUAUGGGUUGUAAACUGCUUUUAUGCGGGGAUAACCGGGGCCACGCGUGGCCCCCUGCA